rnacentral:rRNA from 1 species
UACGUAGGUGGCAAGCGUUGUCCGGAUUUAUUGGGCGUAAAGCGAGCGCAGGUGGUUUCUUAAGUCUGAUGUGAAAGCCCACGGCUCAACCGUGGAAGGUCAUUGGAAACUGGGGAACUUGAAUGCAGAAGAGGAGAGUGGAAUUCCAUGUGUAGCGGUGAAAUGCGUAGAUAUUAGGAGGAACACCAGUAGCGAAGGCGGCUCUCUGGACUGUAACUGACGCUGAGGCACGAAAGCGUGGGGAGCAAACAGGAUUAGAUA